GUGCCGACCGUGAGUGAAUUCUUCGUUGGAGCUGCUUCGAAGGUUAUUAGGAUUGACAUGGUGGUGGAGUAGCCACAGUCCAUCUCAUAUGUCCAUGAGACGGUUCUAAAGAAGAGGAAAAAUAAUAAAGAGUGGGCUAUCAAGAGGAGGGAGCAAUUGGAAACACGAAAGAAGAGAGACAAAGAGAACUGAAACUCGCCAUCAAAAGGCCUGAGAAGUUUAUCGAGGAAUACUGUGAUAAAGAAUUGGACCACAUCCGGAUGAAACAAAGACUCAAGCUGUGGAAGUUGCCUUCUGACAAUCUUAAAUCUUAGCUACCUUUUGUCAUUCGUACCCACAAAGGAUAUGCAUCCCAGGAUCAGAAAAAUUUUGAACUUUUUGAGGUUGAGACAUAUAUUAGGUGGUGUAUUUCUGAAGGCCAAUGAGAGCGUGAGGGAGCUGGUUUACAAGAAGUGCUGUGGAAUGAUAGAUACGCUGAGAGUUCCUCUCACGAACAACAAUGUUAUUG